rnacentral:rRNA from 1 species
CUCCUACGGGAGGCAGCAGUGAGGAAUAUUGGUCAAUGGACGGAAGUCUGAACCAGCCAUGCCGCGUGCAGGAAGACGGCUCUAUGAGCUGUAAACUGCUUUUAUACGGGAAUAAACCCCGAUACGAGUAUCGGGUUGAAUGUGCCGUAGGAAUAAGGAUCGGCUAACUCCGUGCCAGCAGCCGCGGUAAUACGGAGGAUCCAAGCGUUAUCCGGAUUUAUUGGGUUUAAAGGGUGCGUAGGCGGUCGUAUAAGUUAGAGGUGAAAUCCCGUGGCUCAACCACGGAACUGCCUCUGAUACUGUAUGACUCGAGAAUGGUUGCUGUGGGCGGAAUGUGUGGUGUAGCGGUGAAAUGCUUAGAGAUCACACAGAACACCGAUUGCGAAGGCAGCUCACAAAGCCAUAUCUGACGCUGAGGCACGAAAGCGUGGGGAGCAAACAGGAUUAGAUACCCUGGUAGUCCACGCCGUAAACGAUGAUAACUCGUUGCCGGCGAUAUAAUGUCGGUGACUUAGCGAAAGCGAUAAGUUAUCCACCUGGGGAGUACGUUCGCAAGAAUGAAACUUAAAGGAAUUGACGGGGGCCCGCACAAGCGGAGGAACAUGUGGUUUAAUUCGAUGAUACGCGAGGAACCUUACCCGGGCUUGAAAGUUAGUGACGGAUGUCGAAAGAUGUCUUCCCUUCGGGGCACGAAACUAGGUGCUGCAUGGUUGUCGUCAGCUCGUGCCGUGAGGUGUCGGGUUAAGUCCCAUAACGAGCGCAACCCCUACCGUUAGUUGCCAUCAGGUCAAGCUGGGCACUCUGGCGGGACUGCCGGUGUAAGCCGAGAGGAAGGUGGGGAUGACGUCAAAUCAGCACGGCCCUUACGUCCGGGGCGACACACGUGUUACAAUGGCCGGUACAGAGGGCAGCUACCAGGUGACUGGAUGCGAAUCUCGAAAGCCGGUCUCAGUUCGGAUUGGAGGCUGAAACCCGCCUCCAUGAAGUUGGAUUCGCUAGUAAUCGCGCAUCAGCCAUGGCGCGGUGAAUACGUUCCCGGGCCUUGUACACACCGCCCGU